rnacentral:rRNA from 1 species
UGGGGAAUAUUGCACAAUGGGCGAAAGCCUGAUGCAGCAACGCCGCGUGAGCGAUGAAGGCCUUCGGGUCGUAAAGCUCUGUCCUCAAGGAAGAUAAUGACGGUACUUGAGGAGGAAGCCCCGGCUAACUACGUGCCAGCAGCCGCGGUAAUACGUAGGGGGCUAGCGUUAUCCGGAAUUACUGGGCGUAAAGGGUGCGUAGGUGGUUUCUUAAGCCAGAGGUGAAAGGCUACGGCUUAACCGUAGUAAGCCUUUGAAACUGGGAAACUUGAGUGCAGGAGAGGAGAGUGGAAUUCCUAGUGUAUCGGUGAAAUGCGUAGAUAUUAGGAGGAACACCAUUUGCGAAGGCGGCUCUCUGGACUGUAACUGACACUGAGGCACGAAAGCGUGGGGCGCAAACA